UUGAAUUUAAUUUACAUAGUGCAUUCAUAGUGGACAGCACAGCCUUAGGGCCCUUAGAGGCCCCAUAUGCUGUGCUUGCAGUCUCAGUACAGGAUGCCCAUGUGUCCUUGUGGGGGUGGCAGUGAGUCCAGCAUUUGGGGGAUAUUUAGGAGUCCCCAUCCACCUGUUGGGCUGCACUCAACUUACCACCCUGCAUCAGCAGAUCAGGCAACAUGAGGUGAGCAGAUGGGGUUAGGCCCAGGCUGUCAGCAACAAGCCUACUGCCCUAGAGCCUGGGUGUGAGGCAGGAAAUCAGGCCUGUGGGCACAAGUGGGCCACAUCUCUGAGCCUCAGCUUCCCCAUCAGUUAAGUGGAAUAUAUCACUCCCUCCUUAAUAGCUGAGGGCUGGAGGAGGCAGGACCUGUCAUUGCUGUGCACCC
rnacentral:lncRNA from 10 species